rnacentral:rRNA from 1 species
UACAGAGGUCCCAAGCGUUGUUCGGAUUUACUGGGCGUAAAGAGCGCGCAGGCGGUCGUACAAGUCGCGUGUGAAAGCCCCCGGCUCAACUGGGGAGGGUCACGCGAUACUGUUCGACUCGAAGGCAGGAGAGGGAAGUGGAAUUCCCGGUGUAGUGGUGAAAUGCGUAGAUAUCGGGAGGAACACCAGUGGCGAAGGCGGUGUUCUGGGCCUGUACUGACGCUGAUGCGCGAAAGCGUGGGGAGCGAACAGG